rnacentral:lncRNA from 1 species
GAAAAAUAAUUUUGACAAUGUUGAACAAGAAGAAGAAGAAUGUUCAGAAAGGUUUGUUUCCAUUUGUAAUACCAUUUCAAAAAGUUUCACACUAACGCCGCAUAUUCUCAAUGAUUCAAAGGAUGGAUGUUGUAGAAUAGAAGCGAACAGAGGACAAUAAAAAAGACAACUUUGAGAGUUGAUGUAAUAUUAAUGAUGGAAAUGAAAUUUCCCCCUUCCACCACCCAUUCCACUUGGA